CCCGUCCCUUGCAGCUGCUUGAAAGAAGUCCUUUUCUUCCGGAUCGCUUCUUUCCGACCAGCCAGACUUUUAUGUACCUCCAACGAAGAUGGAUCUCUUUCCGUGACGUAUCCUUUUUCUCUUACCCCAGCGACGUGAUGAGCAGAACAG